rnacentral:rRNA from 1 species
UACGGAGGGUGCAAGCGUUAUCCGGAAUGAUUGGGCGUAAAGCGUCUGUAGGUGGCUUUUUUAAGUCCGCCGUCAAAUCCCAGGGCUCAACCCUGGACAGGCGGUGGGAAACUACCAAGCUGGAGUACGGGUAGGGGGCAAGAGGGAAUUUCCGGUGGGAGCGGUGGAAAUGACGUAGAGAUACGGAAAGAAACACCCAACGGGCG